UUUGUACAUAAAAUGGUAGAUGAUUUUUGGAUGUUGCUGUUUAAUCAUCCAUGAGGUGGCAAAGAAACCUCUCGACCUAACCUAAAACCACCUCAGUCUAAUGGUCUCCUUGUUUGAUUAACAUCAUAAAACAACCAUAGCAAGCACAGAAUAAUGCUCAAUGAAGGCACAUAGAUCAUUAAUUCGUAAAAAUCUUCCUACUAGAGACCCUGCUUUAAACAAUAGGAUUCAAAUAUCCCUGUCCUUAGCAAUUUGCUGUUGAAGGAAUUAACUGUGAAAACACUGGGAAGUAUAUGUGGAAGUUUUGAAAUGGGGUAGUCACGAAUGGAACUGUCCCAGCUCGAAUGAUAUUUUAGAGAACACCAACGUCAUCUCACUUGCAAUCCCCGUCAGCCAGCACGGUUCCGGGGCCCCGCUCCUCUGGCGAGGAGGUGAAGGAGUUCCGAGCCCGCUNNNNNNNNNNCAAACCCCCCCCCCCCCCCGGGCACACUGCCCACCUUGAGUCAAAGGCACUUGAAAAACAGCAAGUCGAAGAAAAACACUCUUACCUUUCUUCUUUUUCUUCAAAGCAGGAGAUGAAAUUCCUGUGCGAGAGACGUCCUCCUGGUGCCAGAAAGAAAGAAACGUUCCUACCGUCGGGGAUGAGAAGCAGAGACCAAGAAAAAUUUUAAGGUCCUCCUCACCAAUUCCUGGGCCAGUAGAAACCUUCCAUGCCACAUGCUUCUCCCUGAAGAUAUGGAGAAGCAACGAGUUCAAGCUGCCUUCACUAAGGACCCCGAGAAAACGACACUCAGCGAGUCCCUGGCGUUGGCAGGAACCUUGCCUGUCAUGGAUGAUUUGAGACAAAAUUAAUCCUAUUUUUUUUCGUGGUGGAGAAUCCUGAGAGCUGGAGGCCGGUCGGGCACCCCUGAACACCCAAGGUGAGGCUGUUGAGGCCGGUGAUUUUAUGCUCAUUCCUCCCUUUCCCACCACCUGCAACAGUCCAUCUCUCCGGUUACGCGCAUCUGGGAGCUGCCACCUUGUGGCUGCGAGGCAUUAGUGCACGUCCUAGGACGCAGGA
rnacentral:lncRNA from 1 species